GUUUCAGGCAUCUUCCAAAAUGGCCAGGGUUGUUAGUGAGUACUUCCCUUCCGAACAGGCUACAGACUUUAUUGAGACCACAAUGGAUAGUAUGCUGUCUGCUAACCCCACCUGUGCCACGGCAGCUGGGCUAUGGAUGAAGAUCAUCCUAAAGGAGUGUGGAGAUGCCAUGCUGGACCAGGUGCCAGCUAUCCUGGCUAUAAUACAUAGCCA